rnacentral:lncRNA from 1 species
CUGGUGAAAUUGCAUAUUACUAAGAGUAGGAAUAAGGUGGGUGUUUUUUCUAUAGUUUGUAUAAAAAUAAAUCAGCUAGAAAUCCUAUACUUCAGUUGUUUUUAACAUUGUUCAUUUUGUAAGAUUUCUGAAUACGGCAGCAGAAAAUGGAAAUAUGGCAAAACAGUAUUCCCAAAGCCUGUGAGUGGCUUUUUUGAGCCCAUGAAAACUCAUUCAAGUUUGAGAUUAUAAGAUUAUUGGUUUAAAAAGGACACAAUAAAAAGGUCAAACAAAGUCUGAGGACCACCUUUUUAAUGCGUAACAAAAAAUAAUCCCUUUUUAUAUCCCAUGUAUAUCAAGGGCACAUUCUAUCAGAAAGCCUGUAGGACCAACAGACAGUGAAGUUGGAGAAGGAGCUUUUAUAGAAGAUAAGGCCAAAACGAGUCAUUUUCUGCUUUCAAUGCGGAACGCAGUGACUAUGUCAAUCAGAAGUUGCCAGGAAUAAAAGCAGCAAACUGUAAGGUUUACUUGACUAUGGAAGGUUUUACAUUCAACAUCAAGAUAACAUCAUUUCAGCCAAGGAAUCACAAGAGUUACUUCAAAGCAAAACCGACUAUUGCCAGUGCUCUUUGAUUAAAUGCAUGUUGUUUCUUUAAGUCUUUAAUAACCAAGAUUCUGGAACACCUUUUAAUCAUGCCUUUGCAAAGCAACCAUAGAAAAGCAUAAACAGAAAAGCUGUACACCUGACAGAAUGAGCACUGAAAAAGAAAUGCUGUCACUGGAUUCAAGUGUAACAAAGUAUAAUGUAUAAAGGAUAUAUAAAGUAUAAAGGAUAU